rnacentral:rRNA from 1 species
UACGUAGGCAGCGAGCGUUACUCGGAAUUACUGGGCGUAAAGGGUGCGUAGGUGGUUUUUUAAGUCCGUUGUGAAAUCCCUGGGCUCAACCUGGGAAUGGCAGUGGAUACUGGAAAGCUAGAGUGCGGUAGAGGGUAGUGGAAUUCCCGGUGUAGCAGUGAAAUGCGUAGAGAUCGGGAGGAACACCAGUGGCGAAGGCGGCUACCUGGACCAGCACUGACACUGAAGCACGAAAGCGUGGGGAGCAAACAGG